rnacentral:rRNA from 1 species
GAUGAACGCUGGCGGCGUGCCUAAUACAUGCAAGUCGAGCGAACAGACGAGGAUCUUGCUCCUCUGACGUUAGCGGCGGACGGGUGAGUCACACGUGGAUAACCUCCCUAUAAGACGGGUAUAACUUCGGGAAACCGGAGCUUAUCCCGUAUAAUAUAUUGAACCGCAGUGUUCAAUAGUGAAAGACGGUUUUGCUGUCACUUAUAGAUGGAUCCGGGCCGCAUUAGCUAGUUGGUAAGGUAACGGCUUACCAAGGCAACGAUGCGUAGACGACUGGAGAGAGGGAUAGGCCGCCUGAGAGGUGAGACAGGGUCAAUACUCCUACGGGAGGGAGCAGUAGGGAACCGUACGCAGUAGGCGAGAGCAUUACGGAGCAACGCGACGUGAGAGAUAAAGGUGUCGGGAGCGUAAAACCCUGUUAUUAGGUAAGAACAAAUGUGUAAGUAAAUAUGCACGGCUUGACGGUAACUAAUCAGAAAGCCACGGCUAACUACGUG